rnacentral:rRNA from 1 species
GAACGCUGGCGGCAGGCCUAACACAUGCAAGUCGAACGGUAACAGGAAACAGCUUGCUGUUUCGGACGAGUGGCGGACGGGUGAGAUGUCUGUGGAAAACUGCCCGUGAUGUUGGGGAGCGAUAACUUCUACGAUUGGAAUCGCGUAACCGGCUAGCCGUACCGCGACAUAUGGAUGUCGCAAGACCAAAGAGGGGGACCUUCGGGCCUCUUGCCAUCGGAUGUGCCCAGAUGGGAUUAGCUAGUAGGUGGGGUAACGGCUCACCUAGGCGACGAUCCCUAGCUGGUCUGAGAGGAUGACCAGCCACACUGGAACUGAGACACGGUCCAGACUCCUACGGGAGGCAGCAGUGGGGAAUAUUGCACAAUGGGCGCAAGCCUGAUGCAGCCAUGCCGCGUGUAUGAAGAAGGCCUUCGGGUUGUAAAGUACUUUCAGCGGGGAGGAAGGGAGUAAAGUUAAUACCUUUGCUCAUUGACGUUACCCGCAGAAGGCACCGGCUAACUCCGCCAGCAGCCGCGGUA